CAAUUUUAGCGAAUUGAAUUAUCCACGAGAGAUAAGUGAAUCUUUUGCUGAAAUGACUGAUGAUCAUGUGCUGGAAGCACAGUUUCAUCACCCACAUUUUGAAGAUGAUUCUCAAAAAAUGAAUGUCACAUUAUUUUUGAAUACUGAACACAACAAAAUUAAUAUUAACAAAAAAUGUUUUGAAGUGAUCAUGAAUCAAAUAACACAAAUCCAGAAUAAAU